UUGCGGUUAAAAAGCUCGUAGUUGGAUCUCGGCAAGUAGAGGGCGGUAUGCUUCGUAGCAUUACUGCCCUAUUACUUGUAGUUUUGCCAGAGGUUCCUGGGUGCUCUUAAUCGAGUGUCUAGGGAUGCUGGCAGGUUUACUUUGAAAAAAUUAGAGUGCUCAAAGCAGGCUAUUACGCUUGAAUAUUCGUGCAUGGAAUAAUAGAAUAGGAAGUUGUUUCUAUUUUGUUGGUUUUCGGAAAUCGACUUAAUGAUUAAUAGGGACAGUCGGGGGCAUUUGUAUUCAAACGACAGAGGUGAAAUUCUUGGACCGUUUGAAGACAAACUACUGCGAAAGCAUUUACCAAGAAUGUUUUCAUUAAUCAAGAACGAAAGUUAGAGGUUCGAAGGCGAUUAGAUACCGCCCUAGUUCUAACCAUAAACGAUGCCAGCUAGCGAUCUGAGGACGUUUUUUUUGU
rnacentral:rRNA from 1 species